rnacentral:rRNA from 1 species
CCUACGGGAGGCAGCAGUGGGGAAUAUUGGACAAUGGGGGCAACCCUGAUCCAGCCAUGCCGCGUGUGUGAAGAAGGCCCUCGGGUUGUAAAGCACUUUCAGUGAGGAAGAACGCCUGGUGGUUAAUACCCAUCAGGGAAGACAUCACUCACAGAAGAAGCACCGUCUAACUCCGUGCCAGCAGCCGCGGUAAUACGGAGGGUGCGAGCGUUAAUCGGAAUUACUGGGCGUAAAGCGCGCGUAGGUGACUUGAUAAGCCGGUUGUGAAAGCCCCGGGCUCAACCUGGGAACGGCAUCCGGAACUGUCAAGCUAGAGUGCAGGAGAGGAAGGUAGAAUUCCCGGUGUAGCGGUGAAAUGCGUAGAGAUCGGGAGGAAUACCAGUGGCGAAGGCGGCCUUCUGGACUGACACUGACACUGAGGUGCGAAAGCGUGGGUAGCAAACAGGAUUAGAUACCCUUGUAGUC